CCCCCCCCCCCCCGCCGCAGGGCUCGGGACCCACCUGGGCCAUUUGCGGAGACAAGCGGUUCCUCCUACUUCAGAGCAAGUCUGGGCCAGCUGGGAGCCGACCAGAAACCGCCAGCGGAGGAGACUCGGGCGCACUGGCUGGGUACUUGCAGAGGGCGUGACCCGCGGUGUUCCCACCCCCACCCCCACCCCCGCCUCACUACAGCCUGGGCUGGAGGGGAGUGCUGGUGGCCACCUCCUUGCCUUGGGGACAGGCCGGCUGCGCCAGCCCUCAGACUUCUCUGGGCACCCACGCCUGCCCCUGCCCCACAGUGACCCUGCAUUCCCUGUCCCUCUCCACACUGGCCCCAGUGACCCGCUGCUCUGUUCCCAGAAAGGGAUUUAUCUGACUCUGAAGGCAGGAGAAAAAGCCCAUGAGGCCAGAGGGUUUUUGCAAACUCUUAAGUCUUAUUUGGCUGCGGGAGUAUUUGUGUGGGAGGAAGACCACUGUUGAACUUGAAAUAAACUUGAAUGUCAUUUAUAGUAACAAUAAACAUAUACUGAAAACACCA